rnacentral:rRNA from 1 species
UACCCGCGGCAAGACGGAAAGACCCCGUGAACCUUUACUAUAGCUUGACACUGAACAUUGAGCCUUGAUGUGUAGGAUAGGUGGGAGGCUUUGAAGUGUGGACGCCAGUCUGCAUGGAGCCGACCUUGAAAUACCACCCUUUAAUGUUUGAUGUUCUAACGUGGACCCGUAAUCCGGGUUGCGGACAGUGUCUGGUGGGUAGUUUGACUGGGGCGGUCUCCUCCUAAAGAGUAACGGAGGAGCACGAAGGUUGGCUAAUCCUGGUCGGACAUCAGGAGGUUAGUGCAAUGGCAUAAGCCAGCUUGACUGCGAGCGUGACGGCGCGAGCAGGUGCGAAAGCAGGUCAUAGUGAUCCGGUGGUUCUGAAUGGAAGGGCCAUCGCUCAACGGAUAAAAGGUACUCCGGGGAUAACAGGCUGAUACCGCCCAAGAGUUCAUAUCGACGGCGGUGUUUGGCACCUCGAUGUCGGCUCAUCACAUCCUGGGGCUGAAGUAGGUCCCAAGGGUAUGGCUGUUCGCCAUUUAAAGUGGUACGCGAGCUGGGUUUAGAACGUCGUGAGACAGUUCGGUCCCUA